CUGGGGCUCUAGGCGCCCCGCCAGGGCCAGUCCCGGGGAAAGCUCGCGGCGGCGCUGGAGCCGGGCUGGAGGGUGCAGGGCCGGUGUCGGGGGGUGCUCGAGUUGGGGUGGGGGGUCUCUCACUAGCUGGGUGCUUUGCACUGGGAGGGGAGCAGCGUGGAGGUGCCGGGAGCUCUUUUCUCAGUGCAGUUCUAAGCAAGAAAUUUCUCCAUGUGCAUGAAGCGUUUUCCCCGGGUGCUUCUCGCCUUCCUCUCCCGGGCUCGGUUUAAGUCCCCUCCCCCCAAAACACAGACACACAUCACACGCACCCCCAGCAUACAGCGCCCCCCUCCCCAUGCGCCAGAGGAGUCCAAGAGCCGCAGCGUUGCGCAGCGUGAUGUAAUUCCUAGGAAGCACUCCUGCCUGUCUGCCCCCGAGACCACGAGGGGGGUCCGUCCGCUCCUCACCCUCCUCCUCCUCCUUGGCCGGGUCCUGCACCCUGAGUGGCCGAGGCGCAGGGGCGCGUCCGGCUCGCCUGCGGCUCCCCUAGCCCGCCCAGCUCCGUACCUCGGUCUCUCGUCUCCCUGGGGGCGGCGCGCCCUCUGCUGGCCUGUUGCAAGCCCUACAUGUGGUGCUGGAGGGGUGGCCCAGGGAAGUGGGUUUUGUCUUUUCUGUCCACUCGGUGUAGCUGGGUUUGUGCUUCUGUGUCCACAUCAUUUGUGUGUGUCUGCGUUUGAUGACCGGUACAUUCUAGUUCUGCAUGUUUUCUUGGGCUUCUCCAGGCCGUCAGUAUAAAUAAACUUCUUGAGAUUCCUCUCCAACACCCUCAAAUUUCACAAGAAUACUUGCUGCGUCUUCUGCGCUGGCCUCAGUGGCCUCAGUCGGGGCAAAGACUUAAAAGAUGAACUGGCAGUAGGGGACCUGAGUUCUGGCUAUGUUCCACCCUGAUAUAACGAUGUUGACCUCGGAAGAGUCACUUUUUUGGCACUGUAAAUCUUAGUUUGGGAGUUAGUGACAUAAGUAUGUUUUGCGAUUUUAAAUAAACCUGUGUGGUGCUUUCUCUUUCAGAAGCAGUUUCCCUUUGAGAGGAGAUGGGUACUGGAUGGCAUCACCAGGCACUUUUCCCUUGAAUGAAGAGAUGAAUCUAAGCUUCAAAACCCAAAUUCGGUUUCCUUUAUAGUGGAUAUGAUUGGAGUCUGGGAUAAGCUGGAGAAGAGAGACUUGGAGUGGAUGACUUGGGCUUUCUCCAGGAUUUCAUGGAGUGGGAGUUAGGAAGUCCCGAGGUGACAGCCUCAAUCACCCUACUUUCUUUCCCCAAAGAUCUAGUUUUUCAUUUCAGCCUGCCCCCGUCCCCUCAAAAGGUCAAUCAUCUGUCUAAGGAAGAAAGGCUGUGCAUGUUACAGUUGGAAGGGAUGACCAGUUUCACUUGAAAAUAUUUUCUUCAACUUUGAAGCCUAUACAACCAGUAGAAUUAGGCUAACAGGGCGCUGCCCCAAAGAAGAGCUUGCUUUUAUGACUGCUGGAGACAAGAACAACCCAUUGGUUGUUGGAAUUGGCACCUGGCACACAGUAGGCUCUUAAACCACACUCUUUAUUUUUGUUGUGUUGGGGGGGGGCCUUUGCAUUAGUUUGUUGUCUUAUGAAGCUUAACAAUUCAGAACAAUUUUGUCACUGCUGUGAAUUAACUGAGAAAGUAAUUUUUCAGUAAAGAGUACAAAAGGGAAAUUCUAACCCAGACCCCCUUGAGAUGGUUAGGUUCCAGUUAGUGGUAUUUUAUUUGUGCUAUUUUUUUUUUUUUUUUUGUUGUUGUUCUAGCAAUCUUUCUUUGUCGACUUCAAAUCAAUUCAGAUCCUUUGGUCACAGACUGGAUAGAUCUGACCGAAAAAAAACAAAAAAAAAAAGCGAAUGAAAAACAAACUGUGUUUGAGAAUAGACUGGGGGACCUGUUCAUGGAGAGUCCAAGGGCCACUCAGGGUGCAGGACCGAGCCAAGGAGGAGGAGGAGGGUGAGGAGCGGACGGACCCCCCUUGUGGUCUCAGGGGUAGACAGGCAGGAGUGCUUCCUAGGAAUUACAUCAGGUGAUCAGGGGAAAGACAGAAAGGAAAAAAAAAAAACUUGUAGUUAUUCUCUACCUCCUAAGAUUUUUGCAGUCCAGUCAGGAUAGAGAUGACAAGUAUGGGAAGAAAAAAUUAAAAGGGCAUGGGAAAAAUGUUUAAAUCCCUAUAAAAUUACAUAUGGAUGUGGUAUACUUUUUUUUUUAACCCAUGACUUCUUUUGAUAAAUGUAACACUUUCAAUUUCAUGCUCUCCUUUGAAUGUAGUCUGAGAUUUUAUAAUACAUUAGGAUGACCCAAAAGAAGUCAAAACAAGUAUAAUAUGAGUUAUUUUUUUUUCUAACCACACCUACCCCAUUCACUCUGGAGUUCUGCAGCCCCUCCCCCCACUCUGCACACUCUGGGGUCCACACGUACGCUUGAGUAGACUUGAGUAUCUGGGGGUGUUGGUGUCUGAGACUAAACACAACCCAUACCUUAAUGGCAGAGCUGAGCUUUAGCUGAACUUGAUGAAGAAAAAGUAUGUACGUGUCUGAGUAGCGAGGAGUUUGAGACAUAGAAUAUGAGUUUUCAUGAAGACAUGACCGUGAGGUUCAGUCAGAGGCUCUGGGGACAUGACAAAUGGAGGAAGGAAUGCCAUACAGAGGGGAACUCAACACAAAGGAGGCCUGGGGUAGUGUAGCUUAGAUAGAGGUAGAGUGCUUUCCUAGCAUGUGCAAGGCCCCGGGUUCGUUCCCUAGCACAAAAAAAAUAUUGCUCAACAGAAAAAGACUUCUGUACCAGGUGGACUGAGGUUGGACUCCCGGCCUAUCACACAGGCAUUUUAGCCAUGGUGAAUUUCUACUUUCUCAUCUGUAAGAUAGAGAUACUACACACCUGUCACAAUUGUACAAUAUUCAGGAGGCAAAGGAUGUCCAGCUGACUCGGUGCCUGGGGCAGAACAUAGACUGAGCAAUAGUCUUUCAACAGAUGUUCUUUGGAGAAACCCCACUGCCUUCCGUUGGCCAAUCAUCUCAGAUCUGAGCAAGAGAGUGGAAGGGGUGGGAAUGCUGCUGAAAUCAACUCCAACACCCAAGGGUCUCACCUUGCUGUUGGCUCAGCAUGUACAGCCGAGCUCUUUUUGAUGGCUGCCAGCCUUUGGGAGUGCAGGGUGGGGCACUGGAAUUUCUGGGGGAACAUAAUAGCCAACCCCUUUUCUUGGUUCUGUAGUUCUUUUAAAGAAGGAACUUGGGGAGAAGGGCAAAGAGGGUGCCUUUCUUCAAAAGGUAGCUGUGGGUGGGAGAUGGGCUAAGGGAGGGCUAUCAGCUCUGCUUUUUGAUCAGGCACUGGGACUUGGGCCUCCAGAGCUGGGGUAGGAGGUAUAAUGAACAAUAACAGGGCCCACUUGUGUCUUGGCUAGCUCCAUCCCAGAUGUUGUCCUGGACAAGAAAAUUGAAGCACUCCUUCAAACAAUUGCUUGGGCAGCUGCAAGUCAAGGCAAGAGAAGCCCAAGGGUACUUAUUUAUCUUUCCUUACUUCCAUCAUGAUUCUAAUAAUAAUUCAUCAAUCUUCUGCUUCUUUGGCCUUGAGAAAGUAGGCCUAAGGUAGCUGUGCAAAGGUAUGGGACUGGAUGUCCCUAAACAUACAGGCAACCAGACAACCUACCAGCUGUGUGAUCUUGGAAACAAAGUUUUAAGAGGAGCAGGAGCGGACUUCAGCCUGCUCCUUGCAGCCCUGACAGCCCCAGCCCUUCCUCAGUCGGCCCCUGCUCGCCUGUCGCCCCCUCCCCAUCUGGCUCCACACUGGGGAAGGGGAGACGUCUCUGGAGCCCGGUGGCUCAUUCAUCUCCUGAUAAACUGUUUAUCUGAGUUUUAACGAGGGCGCCUCUCCCCAGCCCUGGAGACAGGAGCCUCUGCGUGUUUAGCCUGCCCUGAUGUGGGGAGCCUGGGGGUUGGGGGGGGGGUGAGGCCUGCAGGCGUAUCUUCUCCCCUUUCCUCGCUGCCCCCAGCUUUGCCCUGGGUUCUCCUGGGUGGGCGGCCUCGCCCUCUGGUUUCCUUGGCUGCAGUCUGGGUGUAGGGGGGGGGGAAAGGAAAUCUUCCUGCCAUGGUCCCUCUCCCUCCAGCCAUUGUCUUUCUCACACACACACUCUCUCUCUAAAUAAAAAUUUAAAACCAG